UUGAACGCUGGCGGCAUGCCUUACACAUGCAAGUCGAACGGCAGCACGGGAGCAUCCUGGUGGCGAGUGGCGAACGGGUGAGUAAUAUAUCGGAACGUGCCCGGUCGUGGGGGAUAACGUAGCGAAAGCUACGCUAAUACCGCAUACGAUCUACGGAUGAAAGCGGGGGAUCGCAAGACCUCGCGCGAUUGGAGCGGCCGAUAUCAGAUUAGGUAGUUGGUGAGGUAAAGGCUCACCAAGCCGACGAUCUGUAGCUGGUCUGAGAGGACGACCAGCCACACUGGGACUGAGACACGGCCCCGACUCCUACGGGAGGCAGCAGUGGGGAAUUUUGGACAAUGGGCGCAAGCCUGAUCCAGCAAUGCCGCGUGCAGGAUGAAGGCCUUCGGGUUGUAAACUGCUUUUGUACGGAACGAAACGGUGAGCUCUAAUACAGUUUGCUAAUGACGGUACCGUAAGAAUAAGCACCGGCUAACUACGUG
rnacentral:rRNA from 1 species